AUUUGAAUGGCCCCUACAAACUAGGGUUCCGGCCAUCGCUGACGCCGACCACCGUGGCGCAGCUGGUCGAUCUCCGGCCAAGAUGAUCCGCAGACAUGAAGGUUUCGGAGGGCCGCGGCCCAGCCGGUCAAGUACUGGGCCGAGGCAGAUGCGGUGUCGCCGGCGGUUGCCGCGACCGCGGGGACGAAGCUGCAGGUCCUCUGAACAACGACAACGGACUCCUCUGAGCAGAAGGUUCUGAGGCGGCUGAAGAAGGUGUGCCAUGAAUCGCAGCAGGAUAAUAAGCGUCCCGCAGACUCUGAGCAUUUUUCAGUCCCUCCGAUCCAUACUAGGCAUAUGAAGUCAAAUUGUGCCUCAACUUUUGAUGAAGAAAAAGAGGACAUGAUUCCCAUCUCCUGGAGGAUUAAGCGGCGCCACCUGGAAACUAAACACGAAGAUGCCAGCUACGAAGUGAAGCCGAAGGUGUAUCCGUCUACCAGCAGUUGUUCCCAGCAAGAGUUUGGGGAAGCAACUAGAGAUUCAGCUUCAGUGGUUGAGCAGCAGGGCAGCUCAGGUUAGAGAUUUGCAAGCGAUGACAAGCCACCUGGGUAUUGGCACACGUAUUAGGGUGCGGCUACACACAGGUGGUAACCUCAACAGAUAGAAUUUUUUGUCUAGGCUUUGAGUCACCGGUUGCUACUCUUUGAUGCCUGCAUUGCCUGUGAUGGAACUGGGCCUCACUACCUUCCAUUCUGCAAGUCCUUAUUUCUUUUGUUUAGGAGCUGUAAAUCUCUCAGUAUCUUCUUGUUUUUAUCAUCAACAAGAGCGGCAUUAGCUGCUGCUAACUGUAUUCUUUCAUACGCUUGUCGAUUCAAGUAUCCUUGGCUUACCUGCUUCUGAAAUAUUCAAUCAAUUGAGAAAA